rnacentral:rRNA from 1 species
CAAUAGCGUAUAUUAAAGUUGUUGCAGUUAAAAAGCUCGUAGUUGGAUUUGUGGCGUACGGUGUGUUCCGGGCACUUGUUGUCUGAGUAACCUGCUGUUGCCAUCCUUGGGUGGAACCUGUGUGGCAUUAGGUUGUCGUGCAGGGGAUGCCCAUCAUUUACUGUGAAAAAAUUAGAGUGUUCAAAGCAGGCUUAUGCCGUUGAAUAUAUCAGCAUGGAAUAAUGAGAUAGGACUUUUUUGCUAUUUUGUUGGUUUGCGCAAAGAGGUAAUGAUUAAUAGGGACAGUUGGGGGUAUUCGUAUUCCAUUGUCAGAGGUGAAAUUCUUGGAUUUUUGGAAGACGAACUACUGCGAAAGCAUUUACCAAGGAUGUUUUCAUUAA